AUUGAACGCUGGCGGCAUGCCUUACACAUGCCAGUCGAACGGCAGCACGGGAGCAAUCCUGGUGGCGAGUGGCGAACGGGUGAGUAAUACAUCGGAACGUGCCCAGCUGUUGGGGAUAACCCGGCGAAAGCCGGACUAAUACCGCAUACGACCUACGGGUGAAAGCGGGGGAUCGCAAGACCUCGCGCUAUCGGAGCGUCCGAUGUCAGAUUAGCUAGUUGGUGGGGUAAAGGCCUACCAAGGCGACGAUCUGUAGCUGGUCUGAGAGGACGACCAGCCACACUGGAACUGAGACACGGCCCAGACUCCUACGGGAGGCAGCAGUGGGGAAUUUUGGACAAUGGGCGCAAGCCUGAUCCAGCCAUGCCGCGUGCGGGAAGAAGGCCUUCGGGUUGUAAACCGCUUUUGUCAGGGAAGAAACGCUGCGGGCUAAUACCACGGAGUAAUGACGGUACCUGAAGAAUAAGCACCGGCUAACUACGUG
rnacentral:rRNA from 1 species